GGACCCAGCUGGCUGUGUUUUAGAUCUCAUGUAUAUAUGAAGGAGUCCCAAAUCACCCCCACAGAAAUCUGGUUUAGAAUGGGAAAGGGACCCAAGGGGCAUUUUCCACCUGCUUCUGGGGCUAUGGAGAUGUGGUCAGUGCUGAUGCCGUGCGGCAUGCUCUCAGAAUCCCAGUGGGACAGGAGCAGCAGCAUGAGAUCCUUCUUAGUUAGUUAAAAACAUUUCCACAGAUCACUAAGCUUUGCAGGACUCUAUGGAGGAAACAAAAAAAAUCUUCAAAUACUUUCUCCUGGCUUCAGGGAGCUUAAAUUUUCAUUUGAGUUGACCAGGAAGAUUUUUAUCCUUCCUAAGGGAGUAGAAUGAAAGAGAAUAAAAAGGAAGCAGUCUCAAGUCUGGGCUUUGACCUGUGUUACCCAUAGACAUUUCCUGUGGGCAGCUGUUGGCCUGUUUUUCCUUCCUGCUUCUUUUAGUUCCCAGGAAGUGCUCUGGAAGCCUGAUUAAAAACAGGAACCUUAGUGCUGAGGACAUAGCUUGUGGCAGAGUGUGUGCAUAGCAUGCACGUGGCCCUGGGUUCAAUCCCCAGCACCAGAAGUAAAAUAAAAUAAUGAAAGGAAAUAAAGCGGAAACAAAUGAUGUCAUUCCAUUGUCCUCUGUCCAGCCUUGUUUCUGAAAAAUUGCACACAUUUGGAAGGCACCAUCUGAUGUUGGAAAUCAUGUGCACGCUGUGUUAUGUACAAGUCUGGGAGCAACAGAGGGCAAGCUCUGGGCAUGUGUCUGGGGCACAGGGGCCCGGAGAACUGUCCUACCUCCCACAGCCCCACGGAGCAUGGAGAGCAUUCUAAAACUAC